GACGAACGCUGGCGGCGUGCCUAAUACAUGCAAGUUGAGCGCUGAAGGUUGGUACUUGUACCAACUGGAUGAGCAGCGAACGGGUGAGUAACGCGUGGGGAAUCUGCCUUUGAGCGGGGGACAACAUUUGGAAACGAAUGCUAAUACCGCAUAAAAACUUUAAACACAAGUUUUAAGUUUGAAAGAUGCAAUUGCAUCACUCAAAGAUGAUCCCGCGUUGUAUUAGCUAGUUGGUGAGGUAAAGGCUCACCAAGGCGAUGAUACAUAGCCGACCUGAGAGGGUGAUCGGCAACAUUGGGACUGAGACACGACCCAAACUCCUACGGGAGGCAGCAGUAGGGAAUCUUCGGCAAUGGACGAAAGUCUGACCGAGCAACGCCGCGUGAGUGAAGAAGGUUUUCGGAUCGUAAAACUCUGUUGGUAGAGAAGAACGUUGGUGAGAGUGGAAAGCUCAGCAAGUGACGGUAACUACCCAGAAAGGGACGGCUAACUACGUG
rnacentral:rRNA from 1 species